rnacentral:rRNA from 1 species
AUUGAACGCUGGCGGCAUGCUUUACACAUGCAAGUCGAACGGUAACAGGCCGCAAGGUGCUGACGAGUGGCGAACGGGUGAGUAAUGCAUCGGAACGUGCCCAGUCGUGGGGGAUAACUACUCGAAAGAGUAGCUAAUACCGCAUAUGAUCUAUGGAUGAAAGCGGGGGACCGUAAGGCCUCGCGCGAUUGGAGCGGCCGAUGUCAGAUUAGGUAGUUGGUGGGGUAAAGGCUCACCAAGCCAACGAUCUGUAGCUGGUUUGAGAGGACGACCAGCCACACUGGGACUGAGACACGGCCCAGACUCCUACGGGAGGCAGCAGUGGGGAAUUUUGGACAAUGGGCGCAGGCCUGAUCCAGCAAUGCCGCGUGCAGGAAGAAGGCCUUCGGUUGUAAC